GUGGGUGUAGCUCAGCUUGGUAGAGCGCCGGAUUGUGGUUCCGGUGGCCGAGGGUUCGAAUCCCUCCACCCACCCCA
rnacentral:tRNA from 3 species